GUACCCGGAUAACGCCCCCAAAACCGCCCUCAAAACCGCCAUUUUUGAAGUGUGGAUAAUUGUACACUUUUCGCACUCAACGGCCGCCAUAUUGUCUACGUUUUGCCUACGCAGCGGAAGUGACGUGACAAACUGCCCGCGAUCUUUUGAUAUUCAGAAAAGAAAAACAUGGCGGACGAGUCGACUGAAGCGGGUCCUUCGACCGGUACCACUACUACAUACAAAUGGACUGACGAGGACACCGCCAACUUCAUAAGGUGGAGGUCCGCCAACAGAGGCAUUUUCACUGGUGGCCGGACCACCAACGCUGCCGGCUAUAGAAUGUACCUGGAGAAGAGAGGGUUGGUGGGCCAGAUCACCACCAAUUUCCUUAAAAAGAAAU